GUAAGUACUUCAACUUCUAAGUAAUAACUCUAAAACAAAAAGCUUUGGUUUAGAAUUGAAGCUGAAGUCUGGACAGAGCUGUAGAGAAUCUGCAAAUUGACACAUAUGCUUAGAAAAUCUCAAGUGUUGAUAUCUUUAGCAAAGUGUACCAAUAUUAAAGGUUCCUGGAACACAUCUGCUGCUGUCACUAUACCAGUUUCAUGCCAGAUGUCACAGGAGUCUUUGUGCAUAGUCUGUCAUAGCUGCGCUGCUGAGGAAUGAUGACAAUAAAAGGCCGAAUUGCAGUGCCUCCAAAAAGCAGUUUGCUCUUGUUGGAAGCACAAUGACAAAAUUGUCCGAAGCGAAUGUUGGUCUGACCUCAGAAAGCUUAUGUUACUUCAGCCUAAAUAGUGAUAGUGUAAAAAUAAAGAACAGGAAGGAGUCAGUCUAUGGAACUUAAAGCAGUAGCAAGAGGCUUAGAAACGUGGGUAGGACUGAAACAAACCUUUUAGAGUGAGUGAGUGAAGGCAGCUCUGGGUAAAUACAGUUACCCAGAUUAUAUAUACAUAGUUUUACCUGUGGUAGGGUAGAUGUCAUUUAACUUCCUUCCCCACCAUUUGGAGAAUCUAUAAUCGGCCUUUCCGUUGAGGCUGUUUCCUACCUAAUGUGUGAGCCUAGUGCUGUAUGUAUUGUGGGUUCUCAUUCUAGCUGCACGUCCCCUUGUUACAUUUUGUUGAAACCCUCCAGAGUGGCUGGAGGCAUCCAUGUAGUGUGAUUAUGAAGUGGGAAGGAUGAAAUAAUCAACCACACUGGGCAGUGUUGAGUAAAUAAAUGGGAAAAUCCUUAGCAGGACCAAGGAAUAAACUUCUUAUAGGAUGCUGAAUUUCACUGGGAUGGUAUUCAUUGGUAUGACUUCAUUACUUCUAGAGGUACUGUUAGGGAGCAAACUUGUGAAAUGCAAAAGAUUUUAAAAGGAGACAAACAUCAAAUGGGCUGGUGUUUAAAGUGAGACUGAAUCCCCCUCACUGUUUAAAAAAAUUUAAUAUUGUCUAAAAAUGCUAAAUUGAAGAAAAAUGUAAUAGUAAUUUUUUUCAAGACCUAGCUUCAGCUUUUAGAUCUGCUAGCAAGAAAAGAAAUGAACUGUAGACAUUUCAAAUCUAAAUGCACCUUAACUGUGAGUUAAAUUACCAGUGGUACCAGUUUAACUGGACAGUUUGGAUUUUUUUCCCACUAACUACCUCUAAUCAAGGCUGCAGUCUUCUAAGCAAAAAUGGGCUUCGAGCAACGCUUGCAUGAGGUUCUCUGCAGUAUUUGAUUAGAUAGCAGUAACUCCUUCUGCUGGGCCCUACUGCCAAGUGCAUGAAUGUCAUCCACAUGCCUGUUGCCAGCAAUCAGUGCUAGAUUCUUAAGGCAUGCUGGAGGAGUUGUGGGGUGGUUUAAUCUCAGUGAGAGCAUCUUGCUUACCUAAUGAACUGGGUGCUUCUAUAUUCCUACCAAAGCUGGCCUCUUACUGCACUUAAGGAAUUUCUUUCCUGUUCAGGGAUGUAAUUGGGCAUAGGGAAAUGCUGUUGCAACAACUGUGGGGAAACGUGCGGAGUAUCUUUUUUUUUUUUUGACCUCUUGAUUUAGGGGUGGUCUUCUGGUUUUCUGCCCAGCUUUCUGGGUUUACUGCCUCUAAGGCAGGGCAGUAGUAGCUGUGUGAAGGAGCCCAGUACGUGUGGUGAUGGCUGUUCCCUUCUAUCUCUGUGCUUCAGAGGGUACUUGAGACAAGUGAAAUCUAUGCUUAUAGGUUUUGAUAAGCUCCAUCAGAAGCUAGUGUUGGUUUUACAUGAUUGUGGCAAUAAAUAGGAUAGCAUAUUGAGCUGAUGAUGUAACUGCCCCAUAAAAACGAACUUCUUUUGUCUAGCUAAGUCUAGACAUCUGCUGUUAGCAGUACCAAUCAUUACUUGAGGUUAAGGGCACUGUGACUCAAUAAAUGCAGUUAUGCCAUAAAUACAUGGCUUUGGUACACAUCAGCGUCCUAGUGUUCAGUAAAACUGGGAAUUCUUGCUCAAAAGAGCUAUAAGAGCUUGAUCUUGGUCAUCUUCUGAGUGGGGAGGUCAUACGUGUAGUUGUCAGAGGUUGGAUGUCUUCGGUUGGAGUUUGUCAUUUCCUUAGUCUGAAGCUGAAGUCCAAAGCACUGAGUACUGAAUGCAGCAUUUCUGUGCUGGACAAAUACGCUGAUGUUGUUAAGGAAGUACUGGCUGUAAGGGGAGGUGGAACUGAAACAUGGUAGAGGGGUAUAGCUGUCAUUAUCUCAUCAGGUUAACCUGGAGGGAAUGGUGUUCUUGAUGUUGGCAGCUUGACAAGAGACUGUUCUCUCCCACGUUUCACUUCAGCCACCAGUCUGGGUGAUAUGUGAAGAUUUGGGAAUUGGAAUUGUAGAUUAAACAUGCACAAAUCAAGCUGGUGGCUUUUGUUUUUGUUUAGUAUGGGUCCUAAUCUCUCUCCUCAGAUAUCCUGCUGUAUUGCAGAACUCGAUUUGAGAAAGUUUAAAAGUAGAAUGUCUCUACAAUUGCAUGUGUCUGUGUGAAGAAUGCAUUGCCUGGAAGCUGUUCAUUAUACUUCCAUUGGACCUGAAGCUAGUUUUCACCAUCUGAAACACGGUAAUGAUACUGUAUUUUCAAAUGAGCAUAUCCUUCUGAAUUGACAACAGCAAAAUAAUUUGAGUUUCCAUCAUUUCAUUAGUCUGAGGCUUAAGUCCAAAACUUGGAAUUCACUUCUACUAGAAACACAAGUGCAGAUAACCACUUGAACUUGCUAGUCUUUGUCAACAACUAUUGACAAUCAGCUUUUAUGGUAACCUUGUACUAACUUGGUUGCGUUGAUUGAUUGGAUUAAGCACCAAACUGUUGUUUUUUUCCAUUGUGUAUGUACAAUUAAAAGAAUGUCAAGUUAUGCAUUGUUGAUGUAACUUAAUGGCUAAAAGCUCAAAUUCCAUAAUAAAUUCUACAG
ensembl:lncRNA